rnacentral:rRNA from 1 species
GAUGAACGCUGGCGGCGUGCCUAAUACAUGCAAGUCGAGCGAACGGACGAGAAUCUUGCUUCUCUGAUGUUAGCGGCGGACGGGUGAGUAACACGUGGAUAACCUACCUAUAAGACUGGGAUAACUUCGGGAAACCGGAGCUAAUACCGGAUAAUAUUUUGAACCGCAUGGUUCAAAAGUGAAAGACGGUCUUGCUGUCACUUAUAGAUGGAUCCGCGCUGCAUUAGCUAGUUGGUAAGGUAACGGCUUACCAAGGCAACGAUGCAUAGCCGACGUGAGAGGGUGAUAGGCCACACUGGAACUGAGACACGGUCAAGACUCCUACGGGAGGCAGCAGUAGGGAAUCUUACGCAAUGGGCGAAAGCCUGACGGAGCAACGCCGCGUGAGUGAUGAAGGUCUUGGGAUCGUAAAACUCUGUUAUUAGGGAAGAACAUAUGUGUAAGUAAAUGUGCACAGCUUGACGGUACCUAAUCAGAAAGCCACGGCUAACUACGUG